rnacentral:rRNA from 1 species
UACGGAGGGGGCUAGCGUUGUUCGGAAUUACUGGGCGUAAAGCGUGCGUAGGUGGUUCGUUAAGUCUGUCGUGAAAGCCCCGGGCUCAACCUGGGAAUGGCGAUGGAUACUGGCGGGCUAGAGUGCGGUAGAGGAGAGUGGAAUUCCCGGUGUAGCAGUGAAAUGCGUAGAGAUCGGGAGGAACAUCAGUUGCGAAGGCGGCUCUCUGGACCAGCACUGACACUGAGGCACGAAAGCGUGGGGAGCAAACAGG